CUGCGGGGAGCCGCUGCGCUCCGCCACCGGCGGGGGCGCGUCCGAGCUGCGCACCGGCAGCCCCUAGGUGCAUAGGAUCGGAUCAAACCAUUUGUGUUCCAUUUCUUGCCAUAUUACUAUGCCUGAAGACCCAAGUUUGCUUUUGCUGCAGCAUAGGGACUGAGACCUGCUUCAGCUGAAUGGAGGAACUGGGGCAAUGGCAUCUGAGUAGGCAGCCUCUGACAUGGCUCCC